UACAGAGGGUGCGAGCGUUAAUCGGAAUUACUGGGCGUAAAGCGUGCGUAGACGGUUAUGUAAGUCGGAUGUGAAAGCCCCGGGCUUAACCUGGGAAUGGCAUUCGAGACUGCAUAGCUAGGAUGCGGAAGAGGGAAGUGAAAUUUCCGGUGUAGCGGUGGAAUGCGUAGAGAUCGGGAGGAACACCAGUGGCGAAGGCGACUCUCCGGCCUGUAACUGACGCUGAGGUGCGAAAGCGUGGGGAGCAAACAGG
rnacentral:rRNA from 1 species